AGCCAUAUAUUAUUAGCAGUAUCGUAGCCAAUGAGGUUAAUCUGAGGCGCGAUUAUUGCUAAUUGAAAACUUUUCCUCUGCUCCCAAAUCUGUGCACACCCACCCUCCACACACACGUAGUAUAGUGUGUUCCUGACUGAAUUCCUGCAUAACCCUGGAAAAAUCACUUCAAAACAUCAACUUGAAAUCUAAUCAUUUUCAAAAUGUGU
rnacentral:snRNA from 1 species